UGUCCUUGGCCCCUGGACUCCGGAGCAGCCCCGAGGGAGCCACACAGCCAAGCUGUAGUGUGUGUCUCUACCUUGGGGUAGGAAUAGGAAUAGGAUUGAUUUCCCAGCCCUGGGCCUCAGCCCAGCCAAGAAGGCAUUGUUGACUCCCGUGAGAUCACAGAGGUGGUUGCACAGGCCCCGCCCACUUCUCCUGCAGCUUUUCUCCUGCUGGGCCCCCAGGGGAACACCCCCCCACCCCUGCUCCAGGGAGCUGCUGGUCAAGGGUCAGGGGUCCGUGGGAGCUGAGGGCUGGCAUCUCCCACGCUGUCCCAGCAACCAUCAGGAUAUGAGGGUCACAGGCCUCCCUUUUCCUCCUGUUCCUGCUUGUCCGGAAGGCCCCCACCCUGGCCGCGGUGGUCCCCAGGCCCUGACUAUCUCAAGGAGCCAAUCUGAAAAGAUGCAGGCCGGUGGUCGCUGCCCCACAGAGCGGAGGCCGGGUGUGUGGGGGUGAGUGGAGGGGCCGCUGGUUGCCAAGGGCACACAGUCAGGCAUGAGGCCCCCGGCCCGGCGGAAGGGGGCGCACUAAAGGGCCCUGGUUUGGCACUUCCUCACUUCUGCUCUCUGGACUCUGUCUAGACCAGACCAUGAGCCUCUUCAUAUUAGCUGUAGACGUACAAAGGCCAUUUUUCUGGGGGAGGGGCCGAAGCCUCCAUCUGUCAGGGGGCCUCUGCUCUAAAACCCUCCGGCCCAGCCCUGCCUGGUUCAAAGCCUCCACUAGGCUUGCACCAGCUCGGACUGGGUGAAAAACAGCAGCAGAGUGGCCGCUGCCAGUCCUAAGAGUCCUGGGUGACACCUUCCUCACCAAAGACCCCUAAAAAAGGUUUCCCUGGGGCCUGGAGGCAGCACUCAUCUCUGAUGGGCAGGAAAUCCAAAGCGUUUCCUCUCACCUGUGGACUGGUCAGGCGGGAAGACAGGAGGCCUGAGGCCCAGAAAGGGAAGUGGCAGGGCCCUCAGACCUGAGUCCUGGGCCCCUCUUCCCCUCUUGAGACACAUUCCCUUCGGUCUUCCCUUCUGUGGAAUGGAGGGGCAGGCCCCCGGGCUCUGUUGUCCACCUCAGCGCUGACUCCCCUCUUCCCUGUCCUAGGCCUUGGGUUAGUGGCAGGCGCCUUUGGCUGGCCCUCUACCCUCCCUCCCUCUCUCUGGCCCUGCCCAGCCCCUGCCCAUCUGUGAACCUCCCAGGAGCCUCAGCACCUCCUGAGCCCCCUGGGAGGCCCCGGGAGGAACAGCCGGCCGUGAGGACUCCCAGAAGCCCUUCUGAGGGAGACCUCUCCAGAGACCCCCAGGAAGAGAUCCCGCCAAACCCAGGUGCAGGAGCCCCUCAUGGAGCCCCCAGGCAAGCAGCCCCCGCAAGAGUCCCCGCCCGAGGACCCAGCCCCUGAGACCACCCCCAGCACGCACAUUCUCUACGUGGACCACCUGAACCCCCAGUUCUCGGUACCCGUGCUCGCCUGCCUUCUGCGGGACACGCUGGAGCGGCUGGAGCUGCCAGUGGCGCGCGAGCACAUCGAGGUGGUGAGGCGCCCACGGAAGGCCUACGCGCUGGUGCAGGUGACGGCCCACGAGGCCACUCUGGCAGCCCUCCCCUGGCGCCUUCAAGUGGCCCUGGAGGAGCACCAGAUCCCCAAGGAGCUGGCGGCCCGCGGGAAGGAGCUGGUGCUGGGUGAGGGCCCAGGGCCCUCGAGCGGCAAGGAGGAGGAGGAUAGCGGUCCAAGUCCCCGCUCCAACCCCAGCCCCGCCCACAGCACCCCAGCGCGGACCCGGCGGGGGUCCCGGGGCCAGCCCGGCGGCACGCGCUCCGACAGCGCCAUCGUGCGCCAGGAGAUCCAGGGUCAGGAGCGCCUCUUCCAGGGCGCCUUCCUGGGCAAUGAGACGCGCAGCGUGGAGUUCAAGCGCGGGGGCGGCGAGUACCUGAGCCUGGCCUUCAAGCACCACCUGCGGCGCUACGUGUGCGCCUUCCUCAACAGCGAGGGCGGCAGCCUGUUCGUGGGCGUCGAGGACAGCGGCUUGGUGCAGGGCGUCCGCUGCGGCCACCGCGAUGAGGACCGCGUGCGCCUGCUAGUGGACUCCAUCCUGCAGGGCUUCCAGCCCCAGGUCUUCCCCGACGCCUACACGCUCUCCUUCAUCCCGGUGGUCAGCGCCUCGGCCGGCAGCACGCCCCUCAAGGUGAUCCGCCUGAGUGUGCACGCCCCCAGGGCCCAGGCCGAGCCGCAGCUCUAUGAGACCGACCAGGGGGAGGUGUUCCUGCGGCGGGACGGGAGCAUCCAGGGCCCGCUGUCCGGCCACGCCAUCCAGGAGUGGUGCAGGCAGAAAUGGGCGGCUGAGCUGAACAAGCUGGAGCAGAGACUGAAGGCGCUGACGGCGGAGAAGGAGCAGCUCCAGCAGCAGCUGCAGCAGCCCGCGCCAGUCUCCUGCACCUGCUGCGUCCUGUGAGCGCCCGUUCUUCGUCUAGGGGACAGAGAAAUGGACAGGAAGCAGGAACACUCGGUCAUCAUCACCCUGACACCGUGUCUCCCCAGCACCCACCAGCACCUGCACAGGGUGUGACCUCCAGCCCAAGCACCCUCCAGCCACUGGUGAGGACUUCUGCUCUGGCCAUUCCCCUCAUCUCCACCAGCAGAAACAGACACACUCGAGCCAGUGUCUGAUCAUGCCAUGCUGGGCUCAAAGCCCUGCAAGAGCUCCCCAUUUCAUCAGUGGCAAAGUCUGAACAGCAGCCUACACAGUUCUGCACAACCUGGCCCAUCGGACCUCAGCCCCUUCUGCCCCUUGAGUGGGUGUGCCCCGCUACAGUGACCCACUGUCUCCUGGACACACCUGCUUCAGGGCCUUUGCACUGGCUGCUUCCCUACCUGGAAGGCCGCUCCCCCAGAGCUGCAGGAUGGUUUCUUCUGGGCUCCACCUCCAAGUGGAGGGGAUAGUCAGUUCUCUACCCGCCCUACAUCACAGAACACGUCCCUCCCCUACUUUCCUGCUUCCAGCCUCGCCACACUCCGUGGCUUUCCUUGUUGUCCCCUCCCCGCAGUAGAAUGCACCCUUCCAGGGGUAGGGAUUUGGGUCUAUUUUGUUCAUUGCUGACGUUCAGAACCUAAAACGCGGCUGGCAGGUCAUAGACGCCCUCAGCUAACUGCGGGGAAACAAGUAGGGACACUCAGCUUCGGGUCUGAGCCACUAAAAACCAUGGAAGCUGGUCAAACGGGGCAUUUCCCGGGAAGGCCCACAACACACCUGCGCAGACCUGCUCUCCCUCGUUGGUCUAGAGGUCCUUGGCCAUAUCCAUGGAGUAGAGGGAGCAGCUCUGGCCCCACGGCCCCUGGUUUGUCAGCGAGGAGACCCCGCCUGUGUGUCUCAGCUGCCCGGCGACUUGCUCAUCCCACUUACCCACAAGCUAAUAAGGGAGGCCUGUCUUGUGACACGUUACCUAUCCAAGUCCUGCUCCUCGUCCACUGGGCCCCUCAGUCACCCAAACAGGGCCCGAACCAAGUUUUCAGAGGCUCCGUGAGAACCGCACAGAGGAUGUGCUGCUGAGGAAGUCAGAGGGGGCCAAUUGUGGGCAAUUUCCAUGUGCCCAGCAAAGGCCAGAUGCUGGUCUGGGCAGUGUAGUCCUCGGAAGUGCCCUUCCUGGGACACAGCCGAUGGCGACAAAGAGCAGCCGUGUUGCUGAGCUGCUCCAGGCUGCUAAGCCUGGCCCAGACCAGCUGGCUUGAAGGGCUCCUGGCCCCCUGCCACAGCCCUCGGGGGGCAGGGCCGCUCAGGCUCUGCCAGCCCAGGAGAGCCAGCAGGGUCCCUUCUCCACAAGGUCAUCCAAGUGGCCAGCACUUAGCAACAGGUCAGCUGAGGCCACGGGACAUCCGCAAACCAUCCCACACACAACCGAAUCCUCACCGUCGUAUGGAGCGCUGCUGUCACCCUCCUCAGUGUCCUCAGUUUGGGCAAUGGCUUGUACAGAAACGAUUCAGACUCUGUGACCAGCCAGGAACGGUGGCACAUCCCGGACCGCACGGACAUUGCCCACCCGGCUGCGACAUCAAGAGCACGACACACAGAGCAUGUCUCGUUCUGCGUUAUUUAUUUCCUUAAGUUAGAGGAUACACGGAGUCUCGGCCAGAGGACAGCGGGCCCACGGCAGUGCCUGUGGUGACACCACGGUAAGAAAAUAGCUUUUCAGGUUGCAUUUCAACUGCAGUAACACCAUUCUGGAAGGACACACCGGCCUCGAGCGAAGCGGUCUGUGUAGCAGAGGCUUCGAGAGGCAGUUUCCCCAAAAGAUUCUUUGUUCUUUUUUUUUUAAGCAACCCCUUGAUACAAGGAGUACUUCCCAACCCGGGGAGGGACGCGCGGCUGAGGACAGGCAUUUUGAAACCACACCGCAGAGGGACAGACUAGUCACCAUUCACGGGACACCAAACAGACUGUUCCCUUUGGCCACCACAUCCCUGCCGCCUGUGGGCAGCGAGGGGCCCUGGGGAGUGGAUCCGUGCCGAGGCUGCUGCUGGUCUCACCACUCCUGGUGGCAGGCAGUGCCCUCAGGUUCCCAGCACCAAGCAUCGCCGGCACUCACUAAACGACCCCUCCUCACACGCGGUCCAUGGGGCACAUGUCCUCCAGGAGGAGCGACGGGCUGCACGCUUCAAUCCACGAUGACGGGAGGUAGUUGGAGAUGACCGACGGGCACUCCCCCGGCGUGUGCAUCCCCCACCCCCGCCCACAGGCCCCCCUCCCUGGCAUGGUGCCACGGGGACCACGUGGGGUAUCGACACAGGGCGGCACCGGGUAGGGGCCAGCACACGGGAUGGGACAUGUGAGUCACAAAGUCUUCCAGAUACCUUUCCCCCAUAAUAAAA